GUUUUUCUACGUAGUAGAAAAGAGGAAAAGCGUGUUAAUCGACGCUAACGACCAAGACGUUAUCGUCAUCGUCGUUAUCAUUGUCAUCGUCAUCGUCAUCGUCAUCGUCAUCGUCAUCGUCGUAUGAAUAGUUCGUAUCGUGCCGCCCUCGUCCCACAAUGAUAACACAACACACAAAUCUCUUUUUUCCUAUUAUAGAGCUCGAAGAGAAACACAGAGCCUUUGCUUCUACGUCUUUUGCCCUCUGUACAACUCCCUUUUCUUUCUACUUCUAUUACUCCACCCUCAGUAUUCCUUCUCACCGUCAAGCAUUCGACGAUUUUAAUUGGACGAUCUUAACGUGCUCACAUUAGCCUCGACUGAUGUGACGCAUCACCUACAUACGUACGCUCGUGUGAAUGCACGCGUUCCGACCUUCUCGCGUUAUGUUACGUCUAUGUAUAUGUAUAUGUAUCUGUAUGUGUGUAUGUGUAUAUAUAUAUAUAUAUAUAUAUAUAUAUAUAUAUAUAUAUAAAAUCGACUGCUGUUAGGAGUUCAGGCUUACACGAUGUUGUUACAUCGUAAACAUACUUACAUUACUUACGAACAUUGUUAUGUAAAUAUAUGUGUGUGUGUAUAUAUAUAUAUACAUAUAUUCAGCCCGAUUAUGUAAGCUCUUUCUCUCUCUAACUUGUCUCCUUCAAAUAUCCCAAGAGAAAGAUCGUCGAAGAAUACGAUUAGUAUAUUCACGGCAUUUACAAAUCUUAUCUACGAAAAAUGGAGAAACGUAUGUAAAAAGAGGACCUUGAGCAUGCUACUGGUAAAUCCUUUAUGACUUACAUGAUUACCAAGGAAUAUCAUUUUUCGAAGAAAAACGUUACUUUCUUCCUGAACUCGAUGAAAAGAAAAAAGAGAGAGAUUGACUGAUGCUCGGUAAAUUUCCAAGAGAAAACAUGAUCAACGAACAUUGAUAAAAAUUAGAGAUAAAUUCGUAGGAUGGAAUUACACAAAGGGGAAAAAACUGACAUUCAGAGAACUAACACGAAGAAACGAGAUGAAAAAUAAAGUUAGGUAUACUGUUUCGUAGUAUACCUAACUUAAUCUUAACGCAUUCCUAACCUCUAAAUUUACACGAGUACAUUCGGGAUGCCUAUCCCGAAAGGUUAUGCAGAAGGAUGAAAAAUAAUUGGAAAAUGAUCUACAAAAACGGAUGACAAUUUCUGAUUUUGCUCUGUUUUGAUCUUCCUUCGACAAUGAUGAAGAGAAAACGAAAUAUGUAUAUGUUUUCGUAAAACGAAAAGGAACAUUUCAACAGAUCGUUAUUUUUCGAUUUUUCUCGUUUCUUCAUCAGUAACGACACACAGAAACAAUGGCCGGCAAGCGAGACACCUGCGUGCUGGUGAUGAUGUCGGCAGGUGAGAGAACGGGUAAAAUGAGUAAGUGAGGAGGAGGAGGAAGGAGGAAGGGGAGGAAGAGGAGGAAGAGGAUGACGAUGACGACGAUGACGACGAUGACGACGAUGACGACGACGACGACGACGACGACGACAAGAGGAGAAGGGAGGGAGGGAAAGAGAAAGGGAGGGCGCGCCGAUGAUAGAUAAACAGAGUAUACUACGCGCAUACUCACGACGAUAUUACGAGGACGUAACACGACGUCGACACGCGCGACGCCGAAUCAAAUUCUAUUGUAGCAGUAGUAGUAGCAGUAGCAGUGAAGUAGUAGUAAUAUUGGUAGUGUAAUAGUAGUAGAGCAGUAAUAGUAGCAAUAGAAGUAGUAAUAAUACUAGUAGUGUAAUAGUAGUAGAGCAAUAAUAGUAAUAAUGUAGUAUUAAUAAUAAUAACAAUAAUAAUAACAAUAGUAAUAUCACAAAACCGACAAAUUAUUGGGUGAAAAAUUGAACAUGAAAGUAGCUAAUACAGAUAUGGAAGGUAAAAUUCUGUAGUCGAUUCGUUUUUUGGGCGAUGUCGCGACUACUACUACACUACUAGACGAAGACGACGACAAUGCCGACGACGAAGCAAGUCCAAUGGAUGUUGUACUCAUUCACACAUGAAACAGUUGAAACACUACUAUUUUACAAACCAUACACUACACUCUUGGCACAUAACAGAUCACGAAACACACGCAAGAGAGAGAAAGAGAGAUACAGCACAGGUCCUUUCUUUUCUUCUUCCUUUUUUCCUCUCUGCGGAGCAAACGACUCCUUGCGGAACGCACGAAACGUACCUCUUGCGAAUCUCCAACGACUCGCCUCCUUUCGUCGAUGCACACGGCGAGACGUUGGGGACUCGCCUGGACGAAUCCGCGACGAAAUUAAUUGCGAACGCACGGGAUGUGGCGUGCAAACAAACGGACUGCUAAGAGUACCAGAGAGACGACAGCGUGAGGAGAUGAGUGAGUGAGAGAGGAAACGGGAAGGUAGAAGACGAAGAGAUAGAUAGAUAGAUAGAAUAAAAGAGACAGAGAGGGUGAGGAGUUGAAGGUGGAGGAGGAGGAAGAGGAGGAGGAAAGAAAGACGAUUGCAAUGACGACACAAUCGCACCACGAAACACACACCAAGCAAGACUCGAGAGCACUGAGGGCUAGUACGCGAUAGUAGCGCCACGAGGCGUCGCUCGUCCACGUUAACGACCACGGGACGAUGUUCCGCCGGCGCGCAUUGAUGGGGAGAACUCUGGUGGGGGGAGCCACCGACUAAUCUAUCCUCUCUCCGUCAUAACUCUGCUCUUUCGUUUCUUCAACGAUUAGUGCUUUUCUUUCAAAUUUAACGAAAUGUCCCUCUAUGAUUCCUUGUCUCAGAAUCGUUCUUACUUUUCUGAUAUACCUUUGAUAAGAAUUUUCAAAUGAUCGUAUGAUGAUGAUGUCGAGUUAUUUACCAAUAAUGACAUCUUCCGAUGUCCAUCUAUUGUUUCAGAGUUUUAACGAAUGGAGGAUAGCACUAUAAAGAACACAAUGAUCGAUAGCUGUUGGAUUGCUUUUUUCUACGAUCGAUGCUAAAUACUUCAUGCCUGAAUUGCAUUUAAUACUUCAGGUAUACUGUUUCUUUCACGAUCUAUGAAUUCUCAUUUCGCGCAAGGAAACAGAUUAAAGAGCAGCAUUGAAGCGCGAAUGUUCGAAUUGAAAGACGGUGCGUUAUGGGGAAUGACGUGGUGCAUGUGGUAUUUCCGAAGCGUCUAGACUCGCUAAUUUAAACCGACUCUCGCGAAUCUACACACAACGACGAUGGUUCAACUCAGUCUAGCCCCUGUCACAACUAACGACUGAAAUAUGAGAAACAUCGUCGUCCAUGUGCAGUUUCAUCCUUUCUUCCUAUACUGUUCGAUGACAAGAAAUCACAAAUUGCGAAACGUCGAGCCAAAAUUUCCAUAGAACGAUGAGUGCUGUUUUCUCCAGAGAACUGAAGAAAUUGUUUAUAAAAUAUACAAUAUAUAUAUAUAUAUACACCAAUGCUUCAAAAAUAUGCUUUUCCAGUAAUGUGCUCACGCUAAAAAGUUUAUGAUAGAAGAUAGAUGAUAGAAAUGACUUCAAAAUGAUAAAAUACAAGUACAAUGGUGUGUUUGACAUAUUAAAAAACGUCCAUAACAGAGCUAUAAAUAUUUAAGAAAAAUUAAAAGAAAUAUGUUUGGUAUAGCUGUUUAGUCCUGGACGUUUGGAUAAUGUUAACACCAAACCCAGGGUGGAGCGAUACAUACCAAUUUUCAUUCUUCCUUCGUGUUGAACCGCACUUUCUUUUAAGACAGAAAAUGCAGUGUGUUUAACGAAGGGUAUGAAUAUAUAUCGGUUGACAACGAAAGAAGAUAGAUAAUCACAUUUUUAAGAAUAUAUAAACGCUUGUAUAUAACAACAGAAAAGAAAAACUGUUGGAGAUGAUAGCGAGAAACACAAAGAAGUUAGAGGAGAAACACAUACUAAAAACACCAGCAGCAGGCCAGAAGAAGAAGAGAGAGAGAGGAAAGGAAUAUAAACGAAGCGCCGCAAGAACGGUGGGGUCACCCAUCCAUUCCUUAAACGCUAUGAAUAGAUGUUUAACUGAAAUAAGCGAAUUUAUGAUGAACGUGCACUUCGACCAAAUAAUAACUUUAAAUUCCUAUUAUAAAUAAUUAAUAUCAGCAUUGUAUUAUUUUUAUGGUAUAUUUUUAAAAUUAGUUAAUAAUUAUUUAUUAAUCGACAUUCAAAGAACGAUAAGAAUAAUCGUAAUACCAGUCAUUGAAUGUAUGAUCAAACUGGAGAGGUGUCUGUUUUAGAAUCUUUUGUAAUUGUAAUACAAUAAUAAGAUUAAAUAUGACUUCGGAUGCAUUUAGAUACUUAAACAAAUUAACCGAAUGAUUUAAUUUCUUUUAUUGUAAAUAUGAACAUUUUCAUUUUGUCUUUGCAGUUUGAUCAAAAUAUUUAAAUCUGACGAUGAUAGAAAUUUAUAGAAGUUUUGAAAAAUUAUUUACGAUAUUAGAAAAUGAAUAGGCAGACAUUAAUAAGUCUUUUACUGCACAUUAUUGUCUUAAUGGAGAAUGUAAUAUUCAUAAUAUAAUAUUCAUAACUUUUCUUCUUUUUUCUUCUCUUUUGUUAUACCUCUUCAUUAUAAAAGGAAUAGCAAUCUUAACCCUAACAUUGAGCAAUUGGUUUAACCCAUUUGAUGUUUAUCCCAUUGUCUGAUUUUUUUAGAUCUUUCACUGAAUCGUUACGACAUUCUGUCUCAAAAACAGGACAGAUUUUAAUACAAAUUUCCACAAUCUCUACUAUGACAUACCUCACGUAAAUCGAUUAAGAUCCAUUCAAUGAGAGCAUUUUCGUCAUAAUUCCUAAACUUCAUUUAUCUCGUCUAAAAGAAAAAUAUUUUCCCUAGUAAAAAUAAGGAGAGAAUAUGUACAAGUAGCGACAAAACGUGAAACGCUUUAAUAACUUCGAAGUUUUUUCGAAGCUUGAAAUCGUUGAUAUACAUUUCAAAGUCUUGAUAAAUCUCGAGCCUUUCGUCAAUUUCGUUAUUCGAACCACAAUAGUCUCACGUGCUGGGAUCUAAAACAUCAUUUUCGAAUUGUUUCGUAGUUUCGAACAUGAUUCCAAACUUACAACGCCUGAAAAUCUUGAUAUGUCUCAAGUCUUUCUUCAUUUUCGUUGUAUUAGGGACAAUGAAUACUUUCGCUGAAAAUGAUAUGUUUUAAUAUAUUUUUUUUUGGCAUUGAUUAAUAUAUCCUAGUAUAUAUUCCAGUACUCGAAUUACUCAUUGUAACUCGAAAUCUGGAUUUGAAUAUUCGGAUACGAGGACUUGAUUCCAAAUAUUUCAGUAUUUGGUUUCGUAACUUUUACCGAGGUGAUUUUUUUUAUGUAUAAAUUUCAUAGUUUAAAGUGAAACAUCUUAAAGUUAAAAACAAAUAGCUGCAAAUUUUUCAAAUGGUCGUAGUAAUUAUUUAACGUUAAAUAUAAUUACUAUACUCUAUACUCUGUAUGUAUCAUAUUACAUUAUAUUGACUUUAAAUACAA